AGGGUCAUAGCUCAGUGGUGGAACAUCUGCUUUGCCCACAGAAGGUCCAGGUUCAACCCCCUGUGUCUCCA